UACGUAGGGCGCAAGCGUUACUCGGAAUUACUGGGCGUAAAGCGUGCGUAGGUGGUGGGUUAAGUCUGUCGUGAAAUCCCCGGGCUUAACCUGGGAAUGGCAUUUGGGACUGCAAGGCUUGAGUGCGGCAGAGGAGACUGGAAUUCCUGGUGUAGCAGUGAAAUGCGUAGAUAUCAGGAGGAACACCGAUGGCGAAGGCAGGUCUCUGGGCUGACACUGACGCUCAUGCACGAAAGCGUGGGGAGCAAACAGG
rnacentral:rRNA from 1 species